rnacentral:sRNA from 1 species
UUGGUCAUGUAUGUUAACUUAACCUCCUUUAGUUGAUUUUGGAACUUGAUGAUUUUACUUAGCAUGCACCAUCAGUAGGACCAU